rnacentral:lncRNA from 1 species
GGGAAACACUGACCACAGAAGACAAGUUGAGGAUCACUUCCUUUGGAUAACCAGCCCUGACCCCAUUCCAUAGUAAUCUCUGUCAAUCUUGGUGGCUCUGACCACACAUUUGUUCUGGCUUAAAUUGGGGAGGACUAUGGGGUGUGGAGGACGGUAAUGGAGCAGGAGUAGUCACAGAAAACAAACUUGACCAAAGCACUCCAUACUACUUGGCCACUGGUUGGUUGGGGAUGGGCACAUGACCCAAGCUGAGCCAGUAUCCUCAGAUGUUUUGUCAGAGAGAUUUUUUAAAAAGCCCCUCUUUCUCUGUGAUCACAAGCCAUAAUGAUGAUACAAGUGUGGGGCUGCAGGCUAUUUUGCCCACCCAGGAAUUAAGUCAAAAGGGCAAGCAGAGAGGAGAAAUGAGGAGAGGAACAGAGCCCAGCUGGCAUUGCAUCCCAGAAUCCAAUUUUGCCUGAAGCUACCUCUUAGAUUUGCCAGUUACAUGAGCCUUUUCUUGUUUAAGUUGGUUUGAAUUAGGUUUUUGCUACUGGCAGCCAAAGGAGUCCUGACUAAUCCACAAAGUUCAACUGACAGAUAAGCUACUCAGAAUGCGACGGUGAAAUGAAAGGGAUAAUACUCUCCCAUUCUCUUGUAAUUUGGAAAUUCUCCGGACCUAAAGCCAGAUCAGCCUCUGCUCUACCAGCACCAAAACUGUGCACGAGGCACACUGUAGUCAUCUAAGGAACUGGAGAUGUUAGCCUGAGAACGAGAAGACAAGAUGUGCUUGCUGGGCUCAAACGUGUGAAGGUCUACUUUGUGAGAAAGGGAUUGGAUUCACUCUUUGGAGUUAAAAGUCAGACCAACAAGUCCUUAUCACUGAGGGGAAUUUUCUGUACAACAUGAAGGAUAACUUUUCUAACAAUGAAAGCCAUCCUAGCUGACAUAAUGUGACCCUCAAACACUUCCUUUAUUGAGUGAGAGGCUGGACAAAAUGACAUCUAAGAUCCCACCCAACUCUGUGAUUACUUGAUUCAAUCAAAGUUUGGUCAUGGUGACCGUAUCUGUACAGUCAUGCAUUGAUUAAAAAUGGGGAUAUAUCCUGAGAAAUGUGUCCUUAUGUGAUUCCAUCAUUGUGCAAACAUCAUAGAGUGCACUUACAUAAAUCUAGAUGGCAAUGCCUUCUGCACACCUAGGUUUUGUGGUAUAGUCUAAUGCUUCUAGGCUGUAAACCUGUACAGCAGAUGACUGUCCUGAAUACUGUAGGCAACUGUAACACCAUAG